AAGUCGUAACAAGGUUUCCGUAGGUGAACCUGCGGAAGGAUCAUUAUUGAAUAAACUUGAUGGAUUGUUGCUGGCUCUGUUCAUAGAGAGUAUGUGCACGUCUGUCAUUUUUAUAUAUUCUCCAUGUGCACUAUGCAUAGACCUGAAUAUUGGGCUGAUCAAAGAUUUCUUUGAUUUCUGGAAAUUGCUGUUAUAAAUAUACCAGCUUUUUCUGUAUUCAGGUUCUGUGGAUUUUAUAUAUACUCCAAUGUAUGAUGAAUGAACGUUCUUAAAGGGCUUGUAAAGCUCAUAAAUUUGUAAUACAACUUUCAGCAACGGAUCUCUUGGCUCUC
rnacentral:misc_RNA from 1 species